UACGUAGGGUGCAAGCGUUGUCCGGAAUUAUUGGGCGUAAAGAGCUCGUAGGCGGUUUGUCGCGUCUGCUGUGAAAACUCGGGGCUUAACCCUGGGCCUGCAGUGGGUACGGGCAGACUAGAGUGCGGUAGGGGAGACUGGAAUUCCUGGUGUAGCGGUGAAAUGCGCAGAUAUCAGGAGGAACACCGAUGGCGAAGGCAGCUCGCUGGGACGGUACUGACGCUGAGGCGCGAAAGCGUGGGGAGCGAACAGG
rnacentral:rRNA from 1 species